GGCAGAGACCAGGAAACCCUCUUGCGCUUCCCAUCUUCUCUCUCCAGCUCUUGUAGCGCUAUCCUGGCCGUUCCUUCAGGGCUCCUGCUGUGUUCAGGAGCAUCUUGCUCGGCUGGCCCCUCCUCCUCUCUAGAAACCGGGGGUCUGGGGUUCUGGAAUUAGAUCAGUGUCUGCUCUGCCUCAGGCCUCCCUGCCUCCUCAUGGGCCCUGACUGCCAAGAAAUAACAGUUGCUGGAGACAUAUCUUGAUUUGGGGUCAGUGUAAGAACUUUCUAGAACCCAGAAUCCAGCCAAGGCAUGAGCUCCUUUGAGGUAGAGGUCUGGUUCCUGUCCUGCCACAUUUCACGUGGAACUGUGGUGACUGUUGUCAGGGACAUUGAACAAGGGACAUGGGUACCAAGCUGACCUGAGGACUCAGCUAACUAAAGUUCCACAUUUCUUCCCUCCUUCCCUUGUCUACCUCUUUUCCAUCAAACGUAAGUGGUCCUCUAGGGGUUGGCUCUCUCAUGGUCUUUCUCUUCUGAUCUGCUCUGCCCCGUCGUGGGCAUCUUGGAACCACCUCAGAAGCAAGGCCACAGCUGUGGACUGGUCCUCGUGGGAGUCUCCCUGGAUCCUCUGUACCUGUAAUAGGUACACAGUUACGUUAUUAUCCAACCUCCAGUCCCCAAAAAGCCUCCUUAAUUUGAAAGAGAAAAGGUAUAUGUGCCUUGCAUUUUGUUAUCGGUCCAGAUUUUGCAUCUGGUGGUGGCUGGGGUGCCAUUGGGAUUUUGGAAUGGGAGCAGUUUGAGUCCUCCCUCGGAAGGAACUCAUGGCUCUCACAAACCAGUGUCUGUGGCAGUGACAAGUCACAGAAUUUGUGUUUCAAGGCUUAUUCCUUCUUCCCUUUAAGACUUUUUCAACUUCCUGUCACUUCGGGCUGAGUCUCAAUUUCAGUCAUGUUUUGUGGCUUCCUUUGAGCACAGAAACCUCUCCUUUUCUUCCGUUACUGGAACUAAGAUCCCAGCAUAAACUCGUGAGAGUCAUUUUUCCACGUCAUCAUUCGUUGGAGCUAUUAAGCCCGAACACAGAAUGACAUUAGUGUUAUACUAAUGUAAGCAGCAGCCACUCUGGUGAUCUUGCAUUGAACUCUUUUGUUCUUAAACCAGAUUCACGGCGGGCAGGCACAGAGUUAGAAGAGUGGGCUGCAGGAAGACACGCGCUCAGCGGUGGCUGCUUUCAAGCAGCAUUGUUUUUUGCCUUGAAAACCACAUUUCAUUAUGUUAGAAUCGGUGAUCCCCUUAAUACUGCAUCUCUGAAAAUGGGCACCAUGAAACCAAAACCAAAGUUCUGGAUGUGGGGCAGUGGAGCUUUUCUUUCGAAGCACUGGGAGCUUGGGCAGGGCGUCCCGACUGCCCCUCGGUUUUGCCGGAGCACUCGGAAGGGCCUCCUCUUUUCCUAGUAGUUGCCUCAUGUUGACUCUAGAAAGCAAGUGUGUGCAGCCUGUGCCUCCCCGACCCAUGGCGGGCGUCUAGAUCAGGCCCUAGGAGCCUCCCCACCCCUGCCUCUUCUAGCCACUUCCCGGGGGGCUGUAGAGCACGGUCACGGGAAGGCCUCUGCUGGGCCGAGUCUCUGCGGUCCCUCAGCCAUCACAGCACUGGCGUCUUCAGACACACCCUGGCUGCAAGGCAGGACACUCCCCCUGCCGAGAGACACCAUGUGCGUCAUCAUUGCCUCCCCUGGAAGAGCCCACAGCCUUCUAUGAUCUCCCCCCGGGCUCGCCCUGCCUUCCACGGCCAUGGUCACGUUGGGUAUGCAGUACCUUUCAAGGAUAAAUUUUUGUUUAUGUUUUUUAAGUGCCUAAGCAAGAUACAGACCUCUGGAACCUGCCAGAGAGUCGGCCUAUGCCCUGUCCCCAUCCCUCCCCACCCUGCACUGGCCCUUGAGGGUGGGCACAGGGCGGCUGCCCCUCUCCAGUGUCCCUGGCGUUCUGCAGGCAGAACAAGGCAGGGAUAAGCUAGCGGGAGAGAUCGCUUCACAGCCACGUCAGGCUGGCUUCGUCACUGUUUUCCAGCGUUUCUUUCUUUAGGGCCGUUUCUGUUUAUGUGGUUUGGUCUUGGUUCAUAGAGAAUUUAAGAGUCUGCUUAGGGAAAUCUCAGUAGCCACUAAGAAGACAGGAGAGCAAGACAGCCUCAGAGCAGCAUUCCAGCUCUGGCUUUGGUAGGAGUUGGAAAUGUGUCCACAUCCAAGAGGGCGAAGCGUCGAAUCAUCCUAGCUCAUGAGCCUGCUGACUCACCGGCCAGCGUGAGCCACCGGAGCCCCAGCUGCCUUUCCGAGCCCUCUCUGCCUAGACUAGAGGGAUCAGGGUGUCUGCUCAGGAGGGCUUGGGAAAGCCAGCAGUCAGGCGUUCAGAUCCAAAGUGUGUCUUUGGAAAUGAGUGUGAGAGUAUUUGUUUCUUUUUUAAAAAAUAAUUUGUCUGACCUAAAUACGGGGCCUUUAUUCUGUGAUGGGUGUACGACAGAUUAUUUUGUGACUGCACUCUGUUCAAAUCACAUCUAAGCAGCGCUGAGAUGAUUUGUUGGUGCAUUAGAAGGUUUUGCAACAUGGAACAAUCCAUACCCAGGCACUUUAUUUUCAUUAAUAAUCCAGCAUUUUUGUUCAGACAAUGUAAUAACCCAAACACUGGGUAUUCAUAUUUGACACAUGGGCAAACUUGCCAGUGGAAUGGAAUUGUGACCUGAUAGAGAAGGGAAGGCAGGCUGAUGAAGGUGAUCGAAUGGGAGAACAGUGCUGUGGUGAUCAUGAGAAUGAGGCUUUUCUGUAGCAUGUAAACCAAACCGGACCCUUGGCAGUUCGUCGUCCCUCAGUUCUCCAGAUGCUAUUUUUUUGCAGGUUCUACCAAGUGCUUGUUGAUUACCCUAGUUGUAAUUAUCUAGGGAAGAGAUGAAUGUAAGUGAGAGUGCAGAGCACUGGGGAGGGUGACAGUGAAAUGCAAUUAGAGGCAGCAAGAGAGUCCUAGUCUGUUCUCACAUAACCGGACUUGAACGCUCCAGCGCGAGCAGAGUGCUGGGGGUGGAUUCCACUGCCGAACCACGGCAGCUUUGCUUUACUCUUCAGCAUGGGGGUGGUAACUAGCUGCACAGCAAGUUAUGAAAUGGAAAGCAAGCUUAACAGCUGUAAUCUCAUCGGAUACCCUGGAGCAGAUGCCUUGGGAUUGCCUGCAGUGUUUAGCAUCCACCAAAUAGUUGAGUUUCUAAGAUGGGCCAUGCGGGAUCCCUGCCACACGGGUGUGGGGGCAGCGCGCUCCUCCCUGCCUUGGCUGCUGUGUGUCUUAGUCUUCGUGUUUCCCCUUGGCGUCUCCUCUGGUCCCUGUCCAUCUUGUGUACCAUGUGUCCCUGAGGGCGAGUCACACCUGUGUCUUGAGUCUGCUGUAAGGUGUUCAGUCUACCUCAAGGGGUCAUCAUGGUAAGCUCUAUCCCACGGCAUCCUCCGUCCAUCACCACACACACUGGAAUGUAUCCCCCCCACCCUGCCCCUUUGAUAACCUCCUGACCCUGUCUUUCCUAUAAUCACCACAAACUCCUAGUGCAAAUUGGAUGCUGCUUUAAAUGUGAAAACAAUUGUUCAAAAGCUAUAAAACCUGAAUGAAAGCUGAAGCUGAAUUUAUAAGCCUUGUUGCAUAUGAGCCAAAAGUGCAAAAAGCUCUAUAUAAUGAACUAACCUGCCACUCGUAUAAAUAUAAAUAUAUAUAAAUAUAUUAAAAUCAGACUGUUCUACAAAAUUGUGUAUUUGUAUUUUUGUGUACGUACAAUUUUCUGCUAAGCAGAAGGAGGAUGUAGUAUAGGAUGCUGUGAGAAGAGAUUUGGUUUAAUCUUAUUUCUUUGUUACUUAUUUUUGUUAACAUCAGAUGCCUGUCUUUGUCUUAUAUGUGUAUGACACUGUUUGGAAAGCUGCAGUAUCUCUCUUCCUGAGGUCCAGAGGCCAUUAAAGAAUAAACACGGGGCUUAGAGGUGUCUUGGCCACCAAACACAGGAAGGGACACAGGAUCUCUCUGAACUUUGGAACAGACCCUCAUAUUCUGGGGCCAGAAGUUUGCCCAGAAAGCAGCAGGUGGCUCUGCCUGGCUGUAGAGCCCAGCUCAUUGGCUGUCCCUGGACUUCGUCUCCCUCUUCCGAGUAGUUGCUGCCUUUCUUCAGAUCAGGUUACCACAAUGCCUCCCCGCUGCUGACGCUUCAUCCCCCACACCUCCAGCCCCAGUUACCUGGAGCUUCUCAGAACCCACUUUGCCGGUGCUAAAACACAAGAGGGGGUGAAAGUGGCUGCCAGUAAUGGCCAGAAACCAACCACCAGAGGCCAGGCUGAAAGACAAGCUCCGGGUGUCCAGGGGCUGACGGGCCAACCAUGUGGCAGGUCCCAGGCCCCACCCACUGCGCCAUCCGCCUCUGAGCUCCACAGUGGUCCCACUAAUGGGAACCUCCUCUAGGGAGAGUGAUACUGCACCUUCACCCGUAGGACUCAUAUUUAUAACAAUGUGUAAUGGCUGUAGCAAAAAGCCCUUGUUUCUAGAUGUAAAUGGUCAAAGAAACAAGCGCUCUAUUGUAUUGAAUAAAAUAGUUCAAAUGAGUCCUGUAUCAUUGUAUCUCCUAUUCUGGAUUAGUGCCUUUUGGACAGUAGACUGUUCUGUAAUUAAAAUGUAGUAUACUGCUUUUUUGUACAGUUUUGUUUUAAUAAAACUUUUUUUUUAAUUUGUGUUUAUUUUAGUAUUGUACCUAUUAGAGAAUAAAAUGUAUAACUGAA